GACUAAGCGUACACGGUGGAUGCCCUGGCAGUCAGAGGCGAUGAAGGACGUGCUAAUCUGCGAUAAGCGCCGGUAAGGUGAUAUGAACCGUUAUAACCGGCGAUUUCCGAAUGGGGAAACCCAGUGUGACUCGUCACACUAUCAUUAACUGAAUCCAUAGGUUAAUGAGGCGAACCGGGGGAACUGAAACAUCUAAGUACCCCGAGGAAAAGAAAUCAACCGAGAUUCCCCCAGUAGCGGCGAGCGAACGGGGAGGAGCCCAGAGCCUGAAUCAGCAUGUGUGUUAGUGGAAGCGUCUGGAAAGGCGCGCGAUACAGGGUGACAGCCCCGUACACAAAAGCGCAUGUGCUGUGAGCUCGAUGAGUAGGGCGGGACACGUGGUAUCCUGUCUGAAUAUGGGGGGACCAUCCUCCAAGGCUAAAUACUCCUGACUGACCGAUAGUGAACCAGUACCGUGAGGGAAAGGCGAAAAGAACCCCGGCGAGGGGAGUGAAAAAGAACCUGAAACCGU
rnacentral:rRNA from 2 species